GACGAACGCUGGCGGCGCGCCUAACACAUGCAAGUCGAACGGGAUUUACAGACGGAAGCUUCGGUGGAAGUUUGUAACAUCUAGUGGCGGACGGGUGAGUAACACGUGAGCAACCUACCCUGGAGUGGGGAAUAACAUUCGGAAACGGAUGCUAAUACCGCAUAAUGUCAGUGGGAAGCAUUUCCUAUUGACCAAAGAUUUAUCGCUCUAGGAUGGGCUCGCGCCUGAUUAGAUAGUUGGUGAGGUAAUGGCUCACCAAGUCGACGAUCAGUAGCCGGACUGAGAGGUUGAACGGCCACAUUGGGACUGAGACACGGCCCAGACUCCUACGGGAGGCAGCAGUGGGGGACAUUGCACAAUGGGGAAACCCUGAUGCAGCGACGCCGCGUGAACGAAGACGGUCUUCGGAUUGUAAAGUUCUGUCAACGGGGACGAUAAUGACGGUACCCGUGGAGGAAGCCACGGCUAACUACGUGCCAGCAGCCGCCGUAAUACCGAGA
rnacentral:rRNA from 1 species